CUCUCUACUUUCUUUGUUCUCUUCUCUUGCGGCCUCCAUUCAACUUUACACUUUUUAUUCUUGAGAUUACUAAUUUAAGUUUUUGACUUGUGACUAGAUUUCCAUGGUGUCCAGUUAUUUAAUUUUAUAUGGUUGAUUUAGCUACCCAUUAUGUCACAUCAUUUAAUGCUUACUUUUUCCGGUGAUUAUCAGUAGCGACUAGCGAGGAAAAUAAAAUCUGCUGAAAUUACACCCUAUCUGAUUUCUUUAUUAAAGCCCGAUGGAUUUACCAUAAGAAAAGAUGGGGAUUUCAUUAUUAAUUACCAUUGUUUCUCAAUAAUUACCGAGAGUGGGGGCCUCUUGCCCGGCAACCAGCACUCAUCAGAUCCCCUUCUUCCAGCUCUUCUUGCAUGGUCCACAUUUUUACAUUUUACUCUGCCUAAAAUGAAUGAUUAUUGUUUAUACUUUAUAGUACCCCACAACUCCUCCUAUUAAUUAUUAAUUUUAGGAAUAGCUAGACCCUGAGCUCGGUGUGUAAUCUAGGCCCCUUAUUGCAGAAACCAGAGUCCUUCAACAAAAUUGUGGCAAAGAAUUCCUAGUUUAUUGCUAACUGGGGUUCAUCAUCCUGUAACUCAAAGCCUUUAACUCCAGUAUCUGAUUUUGUUCUCUUGGUCGUGUAAAAAGUAGACUGAAAGCCAUACAUGUGGUGAUGUGGAGUUUUGCUUCGCGUACCGUUGAUUCCCAACUUGUUACUUGGAAAAGCAUAGUCGCCUUGUUAUGCAGUUAUAGAUAAGAUCCCUUGAUGAUAAAAGGAAAAGAAAACUUUAAGCUAUACUAGUAAUUUUCUAAACUAGAAAUUUGGCACCAAUCAACUGAAAGUAGACUUGCUUAAAAACCUCCACUGGAAAGAUUCCUUUGCAAACGUUCACAGCCACAGCGCAGAAUCAUAUAGGUCGAGCGGCGUUGUCAUCCUCCACAGAUCUUGCAAGUGCUUCAUCCCGUCUGCAGGAAUCAACUCGUUGGAUGUGUCUGAUAUUGAAAGAUCAAAAAUGGGAAGCGGACUGGUGCUUGGAGACAGAGAGAGCGUAAAACCACUCGGUGGAAGGCAUGAUUCCGGGAAAGCAGGGGCUUGUAAUUUGAUGUCUCCUCUGCAGGAAGGACCCAAAUGCAAAGAAAAAAUGAUUGAAUUCCUGUGCAGUUGUUGUUUGCUGUGCUUAUGUUGCCCUCUAUCUGUUGUCUGCUGCAUCAAGCUCCCUUGCAAAAUCUGUCAUCAAGCGUUGCGGCGAGCGUGGCGGUGGGGUUUCAGCGGAUCAAAACAGAGGAGUUCUGCAGAUUAUUCUUCGUUUUCUGACAUUGAUUCUGACGUCGCAUUUGCAAAGGUUGAAUCUGGUGUUUGCAAACACUGAACAGGCAUAUCCAUUUUUGGAUUCCCAGUAGGCUGCAGCUGCGUCAUGCUGCAUCAGAACCACGAAUAACCCGAUUCUUCAGGUUUGGUCUUGGCCUUGGGGGAUUUGUUGAGCUCCUUGAAUGUAGUGGUAUCUUUAAGCCGUACCAUAUCCUUUUUGGUUUGAUAGUAGAACAUGGAAUUUUAA